ensembl:processed_transcript 4930447N08Rik uncharacterized LOC110291002
CAGCCUCGAAGCUCAGACCCAGGGCAGGCGCUUCUUGUGUUCACAGUGACACUGGGGGUGCAAAGUAAACUUCCAAUGCAGGGCGUGUUCACGUGUCCCAUGUUUUCAUUCUAAAGAACAAAGCCAAGACCGCUAAAACAACGGAAAUAACUGGUCCCACGAACAUCCUAUUAACCGUAGAACACACAUGAAAUAACGCACAUGCUCAUCUUGUAUCAGCUACAGACAAUGAGCAAUAAAGUCAGUCUUUAUCAGGAAAA